rnacentral:rRNA from 1 species
AGUGAACGCUGGCGGCAGGCCUAACACAUGCAAGUCGAACGGCAGCACAAGGGAGCUUGCUCCCUGGGUGGCGAGUGGCGGACGGGUGAGGAAUACGUCGGAAUCUGCCUAUUUGUGGGGGAUAACCUCGGGAAACCGGGACUAAUACCGCAUACGACCUACGGGUGAAAGCAGGGGAUCUUCGGACCUUGCGCAGAUAGAUGAGCCGACGUCGGAUUAGCUAGUUGGCGGGGUAAAGGCCCACCAAGGCGACGAUCCGUAGCAGGUCUGAGAGGAUGAUCAGCCACACUGGAACUGAGACACGGUCCAGACUCCUACGGGAGGCAGCAGUGGGGAAUAUUGGACAAUGGGCGCAAGCCUGAUCCAGCCAUGCCGCGUGAGUGAAGAAGGCCCUCGGGUUGUAAAGCUCUUUUGUUGGGAAAGAAAAGCAGCCGGUUAAUACCCGGUUGUCAUGACGGUACCCAAAGAAUAAGCACCGGCUAACUUCGUGCCAGCCGCCGCAGUAA